GCCUUCGUGGCGCAGUGGUCAGCACGCUGGGCGCGUAUUCCAGAGGUCCGUAGUUCGAGUCCCGGCGAAGGCA
rnacentral:tRNA from 1 species